AUUGAACGCUGGCGGCAUGCCUAACACAUGCAAGUCGAACGAGUGGCGGACGGGUGAGUAAUGUCUCGGAACGUGCCUAAUAGAGGGGGAUAACUACUCGAAAACGUGGCUAAUACCGCAUACUCUUGGAUCUGCCGAUAUUGGAUUAGCUAGUUGGUGGGGUAAAGGCUCACCAAGGCAACGAUCCGUAGCUGGUCUGCGAGGCUGACCAGCCACACUGGGACUGAGACACGGCCCAGACUCCUACGGGAGGCAGCAGUGGGGAAUUUUGGACAAUGGGCGAAAGCCUGAUCCAGCCAUGCCGCGUGUGUGAAGAAGGCCUUCGGGUUGUAAAGCACUUUUGGCAGAGAAGCGGUAUCUAACCAGAAAGCCACGGCUAACUACGUGCCAGCAGCCGCGGUAAUUC
rnacentral:rRNA from 1 species